rnacentral:rRNA from 1 species
UUGAACGCUGGCGGCAGGCCUAACACAUGCAAGUCGAGCGGUAACACAGAGAGCUUGCUCUCGGGUGACGAGCGGCGGACGGGUGAGUAAUGUCUGGGAAACUGCCUGAUGGAGGGGGAUAACUACUGGAAACGGUAGCUAAUACCGCAUAACGUCGCAAGACCAAAGUGGGGGACCUUCGGGCCUCAUGCCAUCAGAUGUGCCCAGAUGGGAUUAGCUAGUAGGUGGGGUAACGGCUCACCUAGGCGACGAUCCCUAGCUGGUCUGAGAGGAUGACCAGCCACACUGGAACUGGGACACGGUCCAGACUCCUACGGGAGGCAGCAGUGGGGAAUAUUGCACAAUGGGCGCAAGCCUGAUGCAGCCAUGCCGCGUGUGUGAAGAAGGCCUUCGGGUUGUAAAGCACUUUCAGCGGGGAGGAAGGCGGUGAGGUUAAUAACCUCAUCGAUUGACGUUACCCGCAGAAGAAGCACCGGCUAACUCCGUGCCAGCAGCCGCGGUAAUACGGAGGGUGCAAGCGUUAAUCGGAAUUACUGGGCGUAAAGCGCACGCAGGCGGUCUGUCAAGUCGGAUGUGAAAUCCCCGGGCUCAACCUGGGAACUGCAUUCGAAACUGGCAGGCUAGAGUCUUGUAGAGGGGGGUAGAAUUCCAGGUGUAGCGGUGAAAUGCGUAGAGAUCUGGAGGAAUACCGGUGGCGAAGGCGGCCCCCUGGACAAAGACUGACGCUCAGGUGCGAAAGCGUGGGGAGCAAACAGGAUUAGAUACCCUGGUAGUCCACGCCGUAAACGAUGUCGAUUUGGAGGUUGUGCCCUUGAGGCGUGGCUUCCGGAGCUAACGCGUUAAAUCGACCGCCUGGGGAGUACGGCCGCAAGGUUAAAACUCAAAUGAAUUGACGGGGGCCCGCACAAGCGGUGGAGCAUGUGGUUUAAUUCGAUGCAACGCGAAGAACCUUACCUGGUCUUGACAUCCACAGAACUUUCCAGAGAUGGAUUGGUGCCUUCGGGAACUGUGAGACAGGUGCUGCAUGGCUGUCGUCAGCUCGUGUUGUGAAAUGUUGGGUUAAGUCCCGCAACGAGCGCAACCCUUAUCCUUUGUUGCCAGCGGUUCGGCCGGGAACUCAAAGGAGACUGCCAGUGAUAAACUGGAGGAAGGUGGGGAUGACGUCAAGUCAUCAUGGCCCUUACGACCAGGGCUACACACGUGCUACAAUGGCAUAUACAAAGAGAAGCGACCUCGCGAGAGCAAGCGGACCUCAUAAAGUAUGUCGUAGUCCGGAUUGGAGUCUGCAACUCGACUCCAUGAAGUCGGAAUCGCUAGUAAUCGUAGAUCAGAAUGCUACGGUGAAUACGUUCCCGGGCCUUGUACACACCGCCCGUCACACCAUGGGAGUGGGUUGCAAAAGAAGUAGGUAGCUUAACCUUCGGGAGGGCGCUUACCACUUUGUGAUUCAUGACUGGGGUG